GAUGAACGCUAGCUACAGGCUUAACACAUGCAAGUCGAGGGGCAGCAUGGUCUUAGCUUGCUAAGGCCGAUGGCGACCGGCGCACGGGUGAGUAACACGUAUCCAACCUGCCGUCUACUCUUGGACAGCCUUCUGAAAGGAAGAUUAAUACAAGAUGGCAUCAUGAGUCCACAUGUUCACAUGAUUAAAGGUAUUCCGGUAGACGAUGGGGAUGCGUUCCAUUAGAUAGUAGGCGGGGUAACGGCCCACCUAGUCUUCGAUGGAUAGGGGUUCUGAGAGGAAGGUCCCCCACAUUGGAACUGAGACACGGUCCAAACUCCUACGGGAGGCAGCAGUGAGGAAUAUUGGUCAAUGGGCGAGAGCCUGAACCAGCCAAGUAGCGUGAAGGAUGACUGCCCUAUGGGUUGUAAACUUCUUUUAUAAAGGAAUAAAGUCGGGUAUGGAUACCCGUUUGCAUGUACUUUAUGAAUAAGGAUCGGCUAACUCCGUGCCAGCAGCCGCGGUAAUACGGAGGAUCCGAGCGUUAUCCGGAUUUAUUGGGUUUAAAGGGAGCGUAGAUGGAUGUUUAAGUCAGUUGUGAAAGUUUGCGGCUCAACCGUAAAAUUGCAGUUGAUACUGGAUAUCUUGAGUGCAGUUGAGGCAGGCGGAAUUCGUGGUGUAGCGGUGAAAUGCUUAGAUAUCACGAAGAACUCCGAUUGCGAAGGCAGCCUGCUAAGCUGCAACUGACAUUGAGGCUCGAAAGUGUGGGUAUCAAACAGGAUUAGAUACCCUGGUAGUCCACACGGUAAACGAUGAAUACUCGCUGUUUGCGAUAUACAGCAAGCGGCCAAGCGAAAGCGUUAAGUAUUCCACCUGGGGAGUACGCCGGCAACGGUGAAACUCAAAGGAAUUGACGGGGGCCCGCACAAGCGGAGGAACAUGUGGUUUAAUUCGAUGAUACGCGAGGAACCUUACCCGGGCUUAAAUUGCAGAUGAAUUACGGUGAAAGCCGUAAGCCGCAAGGCAUCUGUGAAGGUGCUGCAUGGUUGUCGUCAGCUCGUGCCGUGAGGUGUCGGCUUAAGUGCCAUAACGAGCGCAACCCUUGUUGUCAGUUACUAACAGGUUCCGCUGAGGACUCUGACAAGACUGCCAUCGUAAGAUGUGAGGAAGGUGGGGAUGACGUCGAAUCAGCACGGCCCUUACGUCCGGGGCUACACACGUGUUACAAUGGGGGGUACAGAGGGCCGCUACCACGCGAGUGGAUGCCAAUCCCAAAAACCUCUCUCAGUUCGGACUGGAGUCUGCAACCCGACUCCACGAAGCUGGAUUCGCUAGUAAUCGCGCAUCAGCCACGGCGCGGUGAAUACGUUCCCGGGCCU
rnacentral:rRNA from 1 species